UACGUAGGGUGCGAGCGUUGUCCGGAUUUAUUGGGCGUAAAGAGCUCGUAGGCGGUCUGUCGCGUCGGAUGUGAAAACCCAGGGCUCAACCCUGGGCCUGCAUUCGAUACGGGCAGACUAGAGUACGGCAGGGGAGACUGGAAUUCCGGGUGUAGCGGUGGAAUGCGUAGAGAUCCGGAAGAACACCGGUGGCGAAGGCGGUCUGCUGGGCAGUAGCUGGACACUGAGGCGCGACAGCGUGGGAGCAACAGGG
rnacentral:rRNA from 1 species